UUGUUCACAAACUGAUCGCGAGUGUUUCACGUGGAGGCGAAUUUUGCACGAAUCGAAGUUCGAGUAAUCGAAAAUGCAGUGCGUGAUUAGCUUCUUGACCAAUCGAAUAGUCCGAGUGAAAUUCUUACCCAAAACCAUCAAAGACUUCAGUCCUUUCUUGAAAACUCCAUACCGUGGCCGCUUCGAACCAGCGCCGGUCCGUACCGCAGCGAGACGUCGGAGCGAAUGAGCAGCUCCUCGAGUUCAGCUUUUUCCUCCAGAGGCCUCAACUACUCUGUUUCAAUAAUGCAACGCGAGAUCCAAGAGACAAUUGCAAAAGUUCGGUAGGACGAUGACGAUAAUGAAAAAGCAGUCAAACGGUGGAAACUUUGUUUUUAACUAGAUUAAAAAAAAAAAAGCGAAAAAGCUUUUGGUAGGAAGAUUGUCGAACUUUUACGUUCCAACUCUUAUAUUGUUUUAGUUCCGCAUGGUUUCAACCUGAGAAUAAUUUGAUGAUGUUGAAUGCACGUAUACAAUUCGACGAUUGGAUCUAAAGACGAUUCUUCCGAAAUCGAACGACAAACACAUUCGAGUUUGAGGUCAUACAGCGCGAAGUCAUUGGAGAUAAAAUUAAAUCCGUUAGUGUCACGAACGUCGUCCCGACACCAUUCCAAACGUUGUUUCAGAAGAUCCAACUGUGCACCGACGUGUAUGAGAAAGACGGUGAAAAAAAUAUCGUGAAAAGCUGUGCAGCCAGCCAAAUAGGAAAUAGUUAUUUUGUCAGUUACGAACAUGAGCCAAUACGACGGAGUACCAUUUGCAUUAAAAACCCACAGAGGACUGUAGCAUUGUUCAUUGGAUCGUAGUCAAGCAAAAAAGUGUA